rnacentral:lncRNA from 1 species
AAAACGUCUCUCUAUUUCGUCCCUAGCCUGAGCAGAGGGAAUCUGUCUGGGACCCGGCCAACAAUGGUGGCCUCGCCAUGGGCUGUUAGCGAGAAGUUCCCGUCUCCUGCCUCCCUCCAGUCUCUCCUCUACUCAGCCCAACCGGGAAGAGUGAGAAUCCUCCAGCUGAGAUUCUGUGGGUCUAGAAACGGGUGUGAACAGAGAAUCAGCCUCCUGAUGCAGGAUCGAGUGCUGGGGAAGCCCUCGUGCAGCCCGGGUCUCUCAAAACCCAACCUGCCACUAGCCUAGGCAGGCCCGGCAUCAGCAGUGCACGGGAAGCUGGAAUCUGACCCCUGGCGUUGGGCCUGGUCUCCAUGGCAGCCGUGGAUUUAUAACCGGGGCCUCCACCCAGCUUGGCGGACUUUCGACUUGAAGCCGGGAGGAAGGGGAACAGGAAGGCGGUUCUGGGAGCAGCGAGCGCACGGGUGGCAGCCGGAGGCCCCGCGAUGGCCAAGUUUCUUUCCCAGGACCAAAUUAAUGCCCUGCUGGUAUCAGGGACCAUGGGCCCCCGUGGUGCAGGGGGCGGGGGGCAAUGUGCCCCCCUGUAGAGCCUGGUGGAUUCCAGGCCCCAAGAAUGUGAUGUCCCCACCUGGCCACUGUUGGAAGAUGGUCAACUGUCAUAGAAUGAAGUCUCAGGAAGGCAGCGCGCCCACCCCUUGUGCAGAGGCAAACCAGACAGAAGACAAGGAGAGGCCUUAAGGAGGGACCAUGAAAGGGCCCUAGGCCCGGGCUUCCUUUUGCCGUCUCUGCCGCUCUGCUGCCCUCUGGUGGCUUCUGCCCGGGAGUGGAGAU